GACGAACGCUGGCGGCGUGCCUAAUACAUGCAAGUUGAGCGCUGAAGGUUGGUACUUGUACCAACUGGAUGAGCAGCGAACGGGUGAGUAACGCGUGGGGAAUCUGCCUUUGAGCGGGGGACAACAUUUGGAAACGAAUGCUAAUACCGCAUAAAAACUUUAAACACAAGCUUUAAGUUUGAAAGAUGCAAUUGCAUCACUCAAAGAUGAUCCCGCGUUGUAUUAGCUAGUUGGUGAGGUAAAGGCCCACCAAGGCGAUGAUACAUAGCCGACCUGAGAGGGUGAUCGGCCACAUUGGGACUGAGACACGGCCCAAACUCCUACGGGAGGCAGCAGUAGGGAAUCUUCGGCAAUGGACGAAAGUCUGACCGAGCAACGCCGCGUGAGUGAAGAAGGUUUUCGGAUCGUAAAACUCUGUUGGUAGAGAAGAACGUUGGUGAGAGUGGAAAGCUCAUCAAGUGACGGUAACUACCCAGAAAGGGACGGCUAACUACGUG
rnacentral:rRNA from 1 species